rnacentral:rRNA from 1 species
GAGAGUUUGAUCCUGGCUCAGGACGAACGCUGGCGGCAUGCCUAAUACAUGCAAGUCGAGCGAACAGACGAAGUACUUGUACUUCUGACGUUAGCGGCGGACGGGUGAGUAACACGUAAGGAAUCUACCUAUAAGCGGGGGAUAACAUUCGGAAACGGAUGCUAAUACCGCAUAACAUUUACUUCCGCAUGGAAGUAAAUUGAAAGACGGCUCUGCUGUCACUUAUAGAUGACCUUGCGGUGCAUUAGUUAGUUGGUGGGGUAAUGGCCUACCAAGACGAUGAUGCAUAGCCGACCUGAGAGGGUGAUCGGCCACAUUGGGACUGAGACACGGCCCAAACUCCUACGGGAGGCAGCAGUUGGGAAUCUUCCGCAAUGGGCGAAAGCCUGACGGAGCAAUGCCGCGUGAGUGAAGAAGGCCUUCGGGUCGUAAAACUCUGUUAUAAGAGAAGAACAAAUUGUAGAGUAACUGCUACAGUCUUGACGGUAUCUUAUCAGAAAGCCACGGCUAACUACGUGCCAGCAGCCGCGGUAAUACGUAGGUGGCAAGCGUUGUCCGGAUUUAUUGGGCGUAAAGGGAGCGCAGGUGGUUUCUUAAGUCUGAUGUGAAAGCCCUCGGCUCAACCGUGGAGGGUCAUUGGAAACUGGGGAACUUGAGUACAGAAGAGGAAUGUGGAACUCCAUGUGUAGCGGUGGAAUGCGUAGAUAUAUGGAAGAACACCAGUGGCGAAGGCGACAUUCUGGUCUGUUACU